CAUGGGCGAGAGCCUGAUCCAGCCAUGCCGCGUGCAGGAAGACUGCCCUAUGGGUUGUAAACUGCUUUUAUACAGGAAGAAACCUUUUCACGUGUGAGAAGCUGACGGUACUGUAAGAAUAAGGAUCGGCUAACUCCGUGCCAGCAGCCGCGGUAAUACGGAGGAUCCAAGCGUUAUCCGGAAUCAUUGGGUUUAAAGGGUCCGUAGGUGGAUAAUUAAGUCAGAGGUGAAAGUCUGCAGCUCAACUGUAGAAUUGCCUUUGAUACUGGU
rnacentral:rRNA from 1 species